rnacentral:lncRNA from 1 species
GGAUGUAUACGGCAAUGUUGUAGUAGUCUCCGGAGAAGCAAAGAAAUCUGUGCUUGGUUUCUAUCUGCGAGAGUUAGGGAUUGAGAAGAGAGUUUUAUGGUGAUGUGUGUAGAAGAGAGUUUUGGUGUUUCUGAAUAUUACGAGAUUGUUUUCGUGUUGAAGUUUCAACUCUUAACGAGUGGAGGUGAAACGAAUCAAUUGUUUAGAUGAGAAGAGAGCCAUUAAUAUAUAUACAUGGCAAUGUUAUAGUCUCUGGAGCAGAGAAACCAGGGAUCCAGAUACUAUAACAUUGCCAUAUGCA